rnacentral:rRNA from 1 species
GACGAACGCUGGCGGCGUCCCUAAUACAUGCAAGUUGAGCGCUGAAGGUUGGUACUUGUACCGACUGGAUGAGCAGCGAACGGGUGAGUAACGCGUGGGGAAUCUGCCUUUGAGCGGGGGACAACAUUUGGAAACGAAUGCUAAUACCGCAUAAAAACUUUAAACACAAGUUUUAAGUUUGAAAGAUGCAAUUGCAUCACUCAAAGAUGAUCCCGCGUUGUAUUAGCUAGUUGGUGAGGUAAAGGCUCACCAAGGCGAUGAUACAUAGCCGACCUGAGAGGGUGAUCGGCCACAUUGGGACUGAGACACGGCCCAAACUCCUACGGGAGGCAGCAGUAGGGAAUCUUCGGCAAUGGACGAAAGUCUGACCGAGCAACGCCGCGUGAGUGAAGAAGGUUUUCGGAUCGUAAAACUCUGUUGGUAGAGAAGAACGUUGGUGAGAGUGGAAAGCUCAUCAAGUGACGGUAACUACCCAGAAAGGGACGGCUAACUACGUG